AGUGAACGCUGGCGGCGUGCUUAACACAUGCAAGUCGAACGAGAACGGAUUAUAGCUUGCUAUAAUUGUCAGCUAAGUGGCGCACGGGUGAGUAAUGUAUAGGUAAUAUGCCUCUUACUAAGGGAUAACAAAUGGAAACGUUUGCUAAUACCUUAUACUCCUUAUUAACAGAAGUUAAUAAGGGAAAGAUUUAUUGGUAAGAGAUUAGCCUGUAUUGUAUCAGUUAGUUGGUGGGGUAAUGGCUUACCAAGACUAUGACACAUCACUGGUUUGAGAGGAGGAUCAGUCAAACUGGAACUGAGACACGGUCCAGGCUCCUACGGGAGGCAGCAGUGGGGAAUAUUGCACAAUGGACGAAAGUCUGAUGCAGCAACGCCGCGUGGAGGAUGACACAUUUCGGUGCGUAAACUCCUUUUAUAUGAGAAGAUAAUGUCGGUAUUAUAUGAAUAAGCACCGGCUAACUCCGUGCCAGCAGCCGCCGUAACAC
rnacentral:rRNA from 1 species